rnacentral:ncRNA from 2 species
AACUUAAGCAUAUCAAUAAGCGGAGG